rnacentral:rRNA from 1 species
UGGGGAAUUUUGCACAAUGGGGGAAACCCUGAUGCAGCGACGCCGCGUGAUUUAGAAGGCCUUCGGGUUGUAAAAAUCUUUUUUACGGGAUGAAAAUGACAGUACCGUAAGAAUAAGGUCCGGCUAAAUACGUGCCAGCAGCCGCGGUAAUACGUAUGGACCGAGCGUUGUCCGGAAUCAUUGGGCGUAAAGGGUACGUAGGCGGCCUAGUAAGUUAGAAGUGAAAUAAUAUAGCUGAACUAUAUAAAGCGUUUAAAACUGCUAGGCUUGAGAGAUGGAAGGGAAAGUGGAAUUCCUAGUGUAGCGGUGAAAUGCGCAGAUAUUAGGAAGAAUACCGGUGGCGAAGGCGACUUUCUGGUCAUCAUCUGACGCUGAGGUACGAAAGCGUGGGUAGCAAACAGG